GCCCUCCCCCAUUGCCACCGGCAUCAGCACUUCAACCCCUGUCUGCCUGCUAGUUCACUCCCCUCUAGAUUCCAAUUCCAUUGCCAUCUUCAACAAAAUCUCACCUAGAUCAACCCUCUUUCUCCCUCUCCCUCUCCUUCUCUCAAAUCUCAUUUCCUUCAUUUGAAUCAAACCUUUUGCAAAUCCAUCCAAUCCAACAAUGGUGAACCGAGCCAUCCAAGAAAUAAUUGAGCAGCAAGUCUUGACGGUGGCGAAGGCGUUGGAUGACAAACUCAACGAGGAGAUCGCAACCCAAUUCCCUUAAAUC
rnacentral:lncRNA from 1 species